rnacentral:rRNA from 1 species
AUUGAACGCUGGCGGCAGGCCUAACACAUGCAAGUCGAGCGGAUGAAGGGAGCUUGCUCCUGGAUUCAGCGGCGGACGGGUGAGUAAUGCCUAGGAAUCUGCCUGGUAGUGGGGGAUAACGUCCGGAAACGGGCGCUAAUACCGCAUACGUCCUGAGGGAGAAAGUGGGGGAUCUUCGGACCUCACGCUAUCAGAUGAGCCUAGGUCGGAUUAGCUAGUUGGUGGGGUAAAGGCCUACCAAGGCGACGAUCCGUAACUGGUCUGAGAGGAUGAUCAGUCACACUGGAACUGAGACACGGUCCAGACUCCUACGGGAGGCAGCAGUGGGGAAUAUUGGACAAUGGGCGAAAGCCUGAUCCAACCAUGCCGCGUGUGUGAAGAAGGUCUUCGGAUUGUAAAGCACUUUAGGUUGGGAGGAAGGGCAGUAAGUUAAUACCUUGCUGUUUUGACGUUACCAACAGAAUAAGCACCGGCUAACUUCGUG